rnacentral:pre_miRNA from 1 species
AGAAAAUUCGGACCGUCGAUCUGCCGUGCAAAUACUACCCGCUCGGUGGAAGAUCUACCUUUCGUCGU